CUCCGGUCUGCAGCUCCCAGCAUGAUUGACGCAGAAGACGGGUGAUUUCUGCAUUUCCAACUGAGAUACUCAGAGUGGAAUUGAGAAUGAGGAAGAUUUGCACAUAGCCAUGAAACCUCCUGCCCGAGUUGUGGAAGGUCCUUGGACGCUAGCAGCCCUCCACCCGGCUUUACCCAAGAGUGGAAAGCAACACCAAGGCCAUUUCAAUGUUGCAGCACCAUCCAAGAAACCACUACCUAUCAAGAAUGCUGUCACACCUUUGAAGCCUGGCAAGCAUGAGAUUCAAUCACCAAUGCCCACCACGAUCUUUGAACUCACCCAAGCACCCACCAGGCAGGCUACAAGUGAGGCUACCUUUCAAACUACAUUGCCCACCCUGAAGGUGGAUAAGCCAACCAUGCCCUCCAUAGAGGUCCCCUAUUCUUAAAUAAGAGACCUCUAAGAGAUCCCCAUGGCUGAAUACUCCAAAUAAUCCUGUGUCACAAUAUAUUCCACUGCAUCU
rnacentral:sRNA from 1 species